rnacentral:rRNA from 1 species
CAGUAGCCGCGGGAAUACGUAGGGUGCGAGCGUUAAUCGGAAUUACUGGGCGUAAAGCGGGCGCAGACGGUUACUUAAGCAGGAUGUGAAAUCCCCGGGCUCAACCUGGGAAUUGCGUUCUGAACUGGGUGGCUAGAGUGUGUCAGAGGGGGGUAGAAUUCCACGUGUAGCAGUGAAAUGCGUAGAGAUGUGGAGGAAUACCGACGGCGAAGGCAGCCCCCUGGGAUAGCACUGACGUUCAUGCCCGAAAGCGUGGGUAGCAAACAGGAUUAGAUACCCGUGUAGUCCCUGUCUCUUAUAC